rnacentral:rRNA from 1 species
AUGGAUGGGCUUCUACAUUUGGACUUUGCUCCCGGACUAGCCCUUGCAAAUCAGGUGAGGCACAGGUUUGGCACGACAGUCCAUUUUUCCCCUUCCCAAGGUUCUAGGGAAUUUUUUCUGGUGGUCACUUUCUCCUCAGCCUCCUUUCCUCUCUCGGUGGAAUCUGUUGGUAUUGCCUUGCAAUGUUGUCUUGGG